rnacentral:rRNA from 1 species
GACGAACGCUGGCGGCGUGCCUAAUACAUGCAAGUCGAGCGGACUUUCAAGAAGCUUGCUUUUUGAAAGUUAGCGGCGGACGGGUGAAUAACACGUGGGCAACCUGCCUGUAAGACGGGGAUAACUCCGGGAAACCGGGGCUAAUACCGGAUAAUAUCUUUCUUCGCAUGAAGGAAGGUUGAAAGGCGGCGCAAGCUGCCGCUUGCAGAUGGGCCCGCGGCGCAUUAGCUAGUUGGUGAGGUAACGGCUCACCAAGGCGACGAUGCGUAGCCGACCUGAGAGGGUGAUCGGCCACACUGGGACUGGGACACGGCCCAGACUCCUACGGGAGGCAGCAGUAGGGAAUCUUCCGCAAUGGACGAAGGUCUGACGGAGCAACGCCGCGUGAGCGAAGAAGGUCUUCGGAUCGUAAAGCUCUGUUGUCAGGGAAGAACAAGUACCGUUCGAAUAGGGCGGUACCUUGACGGUACCUGACCAGAAAGCCACGGCUAACUACGUGCCAGCCGCCGCCGUAA